GCCGCCGCUACGCCGCUAGUGUCAGCAGGGCCGGGCUGGGCAGGGAGGCGACGCGGCGACGACCACAGCAGCACGCAGUGGCGAUGGACAUGGCGAACAGGCAGAAGCAACUGAUCGUGUGGGGCGCGGGGCUGGCGAUUGCGGCCCUCUGUGCAGCCGGAGUGUGCAUCGGAGUUUUCUACCAGGCGGCGCCAAGCGAGACCGCAACGUGAACGGGUUUCACGACUUGCACGAACGAUGAGGCGGGGAAUGGAUUUUUAUUAAUCAAUACUUAAGUUUACAAAUACAUUUUUUUUACAAGUAUA